rnacentral:rRNA from 1 species
UGGGGAAUUUUGGACAAUGGGCGAAAGCCUGAUCCAGCAAUGCCGCGUGUGUGAAGAAGGCCUUCGGGUUGUAAAGCACUUUUGUCCGGAAAGAAAUCCUUGGCUCUAAUACAGUCGGGGGAUGACGGUACCGGAAGAAUAAGCACCGGCUAACUACGUGCCAGCAGCCGCGGUAAUACGUAGGGUGCAAGCGUUAAUCGGAAUUACUGGGCGUAAAGCGUGCGCAGGCGGUUUGCUAAGACCGAUGUGAAAUCCCCGGGCUCAACCUGGGAACUGCAUUGGUGACUGGCAGGCUAGAGUAUGGCAGAGGGGGGUAGAAUUCCACGUGUAGCAGUGAAAUGCGUAGAGAUGUGGAGGAAUACCGAUGGCGAAGGCAGCCCCCUGGGCCAAUACUGACGCUCAUGCACGAAAGCGUGGGGAGCAAACAGGAUUAGAUACCCUGGUAGUCCACGCCCUAAACGAUGUCAACUAGUUGUUGGGGAUUCAUUUCCUUAGUAACGUAGCUAACGCGUGAAGUUGACCGCCUGGGGAGUACGGUCGCAAGAUUAAAACUCAAAGGAAUUGACGGGGUCAUAGCUGUUCCCCU